AUUGAACGCUGGCGGCAGGCCUAACACAUGCAAGUCGAGCGGAUGAAGGGAGCUUGCUCCUGGAUUCAGCGGCGGACGGGUGAGUAAUGCCUAGGAAUCUGCCUGGUAGUGGGGGAUAACGUCCGGAAACGGGCGCUAAUACCGCAUACGUCCUGAGGGAGAAAGUGGGGGAUCUUCGGACCUCACGCUAUCAGAUGAGCCUAGGUCGGAUUAGCUAGUUGGUGGCGUAAAGGCCUACCAAGGCGACGAUCCGUAACUGGUCUGAGAGGAUGAUCAGUCACACUGGAACUGAGACACGGUCCAGACUCCUACGGGAGGCAGCAGUGGGGAAUAUUGGACAAUGGGCGAAAGCCUGAUCCAGCCAUGCCGCGUGGGUGAAGAAGGUCUUCGGAUUGUAAAGCACUUUAAGUUGGGAGGAAGGGCAGUAAGUUAAUACCUUGCUGUUUUGACGUUACCAACAGAAUAAGCACCGGCUAACUUCGU
rnacentral:rRNA from 1 species